ACGGGAGGCAGCAGUGGGGGAUAUUGCACAAUGGGGGAAACCCUGAUGCAGCGACGCCGCGUGAGUGAUGAAGUAUUUCGGUAUGUAAAGCUCUAUCAGCAGGGAAGAAAAUGACGGUACCUGACUAAGAAGCUCCGGCUAAAUACGUGCCAGCAGCCGCGGUAAUACGUAUGGAGCAAGCGUUAUCCGGAUUUACUGGGUGUAAAGGGAGCGUAGACGGUGACGCAAGUCUGAAGUGAAAGGUGUGGGCUCAACCCGCAAACUGCUUUGGAAACUGUGUGACUAGAGUGUCGGAGAGGUAAGUGGAAUUCCUAGUGUAGCGGUGAAAUGCGUAGAUAUUAGGAGGAACACCAGUGGCGAAGGCGGCUUACUGGACGAUAACUGACGUUGAGGCUCGAAAGCGUGGGGAGCAGACAGGAUUAGAUACCCUGGUA
rnacentral:rRNA from 1 species